UCUCUUUUUCAUCUUUUCUCUGUUUCAGUUUCUUAAACUUUUGUUCAGAGCUUAAAAUUUGUUGUUUUGGUUAUUUGAUCAGAAACAGAUUUCAACAAUAUCAAGCAUUAUAUGAGUCACGAUGACAAAUGCGUUUCUUUUCAUGAAAGGGUUUAAAGAUUGCUGAAGUUUGCUAAUCAAACGACUCUGAUUAAACUUUUGAGAGGUAUUAUUUCUUUUUUCUUUCUCUAUUCUCAAAUUUUUUGAAAACUACAAGUUCUUAUAUUUUUUGUUUAUGUCUUAAUAAUCAUUCUCUAUUAGGAUCAGAAUAAUUCAGAGAUAUAUGAAGACACGACAAGAGUGAUUUGAAAUGUGGAGGAAAAUCGAUAGAGAUUGAAGAUGAAAAAAGAAGAUGCAAAGAAUGAGAAGAAAAAAGAAGAAUCUGGAUAUAAUUGCUAGUAUUUUUUUUGUAUCUCCGCAUUCUUCAUGUUUUUUUCUUUCUCAUAACUAGUAAUUUGUUUAACUUUCUAUAUUCUUUUUUUCUUCUCUGUACCUUUUUUAUUUUUCUUGUUUUCUUGGCUAUGUUAUAUUUCAAUGGAAAAUUAAUAAAUUGUUACAAAAUAAUAUUUUAUUUUAUAUGUAUUUUCUACUCUACAAAUGAUUCUAAUAUUUAAAACAAUAACUAUAAAUAGUAAAACUAUUAAAAUAUUUUUUAAUAAAUCGAUAUUAAUUUAUUAAAUUAUUAAUUAAUAUUUUAUUAACUAAAUCAGUUAUUUUAAUUGAUGUCAAUACUAAUAUCAUUUGGAAAAAUUGAUGUAAUUGUUAAUAUCGUUUUUACAAUUGAUAUAUAUAUUGACAUCACAUAAAGUAACUGAUGAAAAUAUAAUAAUUUCUUACAUCAUUUGUUAAUAAAAUGAUGUAAAUUAUUUGUAUCACCACUUU
rnacentral:lncRNA from 1 species